UCCGUCGUCGUUAACUUUUACAAAAAUCUUCUCCUCUUAAACAACUGGGCCAAAUUCAACUAGACUUGGCCACACACAUCAUUGGGGUAUCCAACCAAUUAAGAUGACCGCCAUGGCAAAAAAUAGAACAUAGGGGUUAAAUGUAGGGUUUGGCUUAUAACUCUGAAACCAAAGCAUUUAGAGCACAUCUAAAAGUGUUUAUCAGGUCAAGAUCUAUCUGCCUUGAAAUUUUCAGAUGAAUCGGACAACCGGUUGUUGGGUUGCUGCCCCUAAAUUGGUAAUUUUAAGGAAAUUUUGCCGUUUUUUUUUAUUAUCUUGAACAUGAUUUUAGAUAGAGAUAAAUUGUAAACAGCAAUAAUGUUCAGUAAAGUAAGAUCUACAAAUAAGUCAACAUGACCAAAAUAGUCAUGUGACCCCUUAAGUAGUUAUUGCCCUUUAUAGUAACUUUUUUAACUAUUUUUUCGUAUCUGUUUUGUAAU
rnacentral:lncRNA from 1 species